UUCAUCAGUUGAGAGUCAGGAGAAGACAUAAAUACAUGUCAAUGGGGAGCAGGUUAAAAGUCUCUGUACCCAAUGACCCCAUAGCAACCUUCAUGACUCAUGUACUACUUCAACACUGUCUCCAGCUGCUUCACUCAACUUAAGAUGCAUAUUGAUGUCCUUAUGCCGUGUAAAAAGUUUGAGGUACUUCUCCUGGUGGCACUUCCCUUCCAAUCAUAAUAGGAUCAAUAUUUGGACUAGUAACAGUUUCCUUAUUUUGACACACCCAUUUUUAAAUUACACUUCCUUAUAUUCCUCAUCAACAAUAGGUAAGUUACAUAUGAUAUUACGCUAUUAA